rnacentral:rRNA from 1 species
GUGGGGAAUCUUGCGCAAUGGGCGAAAGCCUGACGCAGCCAUGCCGCGUGGAUGAUGAAGGUCUUAGGAUUGUAAAAUCCUUUCACCGGUGAAGAUAAUGACUGUAGCCGGAGAAGAAGCCCCGGCUAACUUCGUGCCAGCAGCCGCGGUAAUACGAAGGGGGCUAGCGUUGCUCGGAUUUACUGGGCGUAAAGGGCGCGUAGGCGGACAUUUAAGUCAGGGGUGAAAUCCCGGGGCUCAACCUCGGAACUGCCUUUGAUACUGGGUGUCUUGAGUAUGAGAGAGGUGUGUGGAACUCCGAGUGUAGAGGUGAAAUUCGUAGAUAUUCGGAGGAACACCAGUGGCGAAGGCGGCUCACUGGCUCGAUACUGACGCUGAGGUGCGAAAGCGUGGGGAGCAAACAGGAUUAGAUACCCCAGUAGUCC